AUUGAACGCUGGCGGCAGGCCUAACACAUGCAAGUCGAGCGGAUGAAGGGAGCUUGCUCCUGGAUUCAGCGGCGGACGGGUGAGUAAUGCCUAGGAAUCUGCCUGGUAGUGGGGGAUAACGUCCGGAAACGGGCGCUAAUACCGCAUACGUCCUGAGGGAGAAAGUGGGGGAUCUUCGGACCUCACGCUAUCAGAUGAGCCUAGGUCGGAUUAGCUAGUUGGUGGGGUAAAGGCCUACCAAGGCGACGAUCCGUAACUGGUCUGAGAGGAUGAUCAGUCACACUGGAACUGAGACACGGUCCAGACUCCUACGGGAGGCAGCAGUGGGGAAUAUUGGACAAUGGGCGAAAGCCUGAUCCAGCCAUGCCGCGUGUGUGAAGAAGGUCUGCGGAUUGUAAAGCACUUUAAGUUGGGAGGAAGUGCAGUAAGUUAAUACCUUGCUGUUUGGACGUUACCAACAGAAUAAGCACCGGCUAACUUCGA
rnacentral:rRNA from 1 species